CUCCGCCCCCUCCCACCCCGAGACAUGAGGAGGAGGAGCCAAUAUCCCUCCGCCAAUCUAAGAAGUGAAUAAGUGGGGACCAACCCCUAACUCAUCAGUACGCCCCUCCUGAUUGGCUGCUUUCACAUUCCAAACCAGGCCUCAUUUCCUAGGAGCCGCUUUGCUCUCUGCUAGCCUGUCACCGUGAGGGAGGGGGAGGAGACAAAUCUCUCCACCAAUCAUUGAAGAGAAUAAAAGUAAGGGACCUCCCCUGGCUUAUUAGUACGGCUCUCCUGAUUGGCUACUUUCAUAUUCCGAGCCAGUCCUCAUUUCCUAGAAGCGCUUUGCACUUCGUGUUGCGUUAGAGGGAGGGGCUAACAUCGUUGCACCAAUCAAUGAAGAGAAUAAAAAAGGGAGGAAAUACCUUUUACCAGUACGGCCCCUCUGAUUGGCUACUUUUCCAUUCCGUGCAAGGCCGAAGGGCGUCAAGGGAGUUGUAGUCUCAAGUUCCUCUGAUCGAUGCCUAUGCCCCCCCGUCUAACCCAGCACGCAUCAGGAAGGGCAUAGAGAGCGUUCCCCAAGAUGGCGGCUGUUUGUCUUCGCUUUCAGGGCCUUGUUUCUGCCACUGUGAAUCGAACUGCAGGCUUUAUUCUGCCUUUCAAAACUCCAACCAGAUCCAUCCACAAAAGCCACAGGGUGUGGGGAGAAGUGCAGACAAAGUCACAGCCUGGUGGACAGGUCUAUGAAGAUGUAGAAUAUAUUCCCACAAAGAAAGCCAAGAACCCCAUGAAGACAGUUGGUAUUGCUUGGUGAGCAUUGCAUUUGCUGUUUGCUUUAUGAAUGUUUCACUGCUCCUAGCCUUGUAACUAUUUGUAGCAUAGAAUGUUUGAAAAACCUAUCUGAGAGAAAGACAGGAAAGGAGUAGGGACUGUGUGACUCUCCACAGGUUUAGAUGGCGUCUCCUACCAUCUUUUAGCAUUUGUUACACUACCAAGGGCCAAUAGAAAUGAUAGUUGAGCAACACAUUUCCUGUUAUUGGGCCAUGAAACUUGUCCAUACAUGGGUUAUGUUCAAAACUGAGACUAACAGGACCCUGGGAAGAAAUAGGAUCUUGUGAUCUGGACUUUAAAUAAAAUCUGUGCUUGCUGAACUCUGAAACAAAGAAUCAGUCAUCAGAUUAUGCAAAAGGCAUAAAGUGAUAAUUUCUAAACACCUAAUUAGGAUGUUGGCAUUUGAGGCCUUGUUUAUGUGAAACAGAAUGAAAAGACUAAUGGUGUAUUGUAGGAAUUAGAAACCUUCCAGCAUCCCUUACAACUGGUCAAGCUGGUAGGUAUUGAUGGGAAAUUGAGCCCAUCAAUAUAUGGAGAGUCACUAAUUCUGUAACAAAAUUUCAUUGUGUUUUCUAGCUGUUAUACAGUAGAGUCUCACUUAUUCAAGCUAAACGGGCCGGCAGAACCUUGGAUAAGUGAAUAUCUUAGAUAAUAAGGAGGGAUAAAGGAAAAGCCUAUUUUCAACAUCAAAUUAGGUUAUGAUUUUACAAAUUAAGCACCAAAACAUGUUAUACAACAAAUUGACAGAAAAAGUAGUUCAAUACACAGUAAUGUUAUGUUGUAAUUACUGUAUUUACGAAUUUAGCGCCAAAAUAUCACGAUAUG
rnacentral:lncRNA from 1 species